rnacentral:rRNA from 1 species
CCUACGGGUGGCAGCAGUGGGGAAUAUUGGACAAUGGGCGAAAGCCUGAUCCAGCCAUGCCGCGUGUGUGAAGAAGGCCUUCGGGUUGUAAAGCACUUUCAGUGGGGAAGAAAGCCUUGGGGCUAAUACCCUCGAGGAAGGACAUCACCCACAGAAGAAGCACCGGCUAACUCCGUGCCAGCAGCCGCGGUAAUACGGAGGGUGCGAGCGUUAAUCGGAAUUACUGGGCGUAAAGCGCGCGUAGGCGGUCUGAUAAGCCGGUUGUGAAAGCCCCGGGCUCAACCUGGGAACGGCAUCCGGAACUGUCAGGCUAGAGUGCAGGUGAGGAAGGUAGAAUUCCCGGUGUAGCGGUGAAAUGCGUAGAGAUCGGGAGGAAUACCAGUGGCGAAGGCGGCCUUCUGGACUGACACUGACGCUGAGGUGCGAAAGCGUGGGUAGCAAACAGGAUUAGAUACCCCUGUAGUC